GCCCUGUUAGCUCAGUUGGUUAGAGCGUGGUGCUAAUAACGCCAAGGUCAUCAGUUCGAGCCUGGUACGGGGCA
rnacentral:tRNA from 2 species